rnacentral:rRNA from 1 species
UACGUAGGGUGCGAGCGUUGUCCGGAAUUAUUGGGCGUAAAGAGCUUGUAGGUGGUUUGUCGCGUCUGCCGUGAAAGUCCGGGGCUCAACUCCGGAUCUGCGGUGGGUACGGGCAGACUAGAGUGAUGUAGGGGAGACUGGAAUUCCUGGUGUAGCGGUGAAAUGCGCAGAUAUCAGGAGGAACACCGAUGGCGAAGGCAGGUCUCUGGGCAUUAACUGACGCUGAGGAGCGGAAAGCA